GCGGAUGUGGUGUAAUUGGUAGCCACGCCAGACUUAGGAUCUGGUGGCGCAAGCCGUGGGGGUUCGAGUCCCUUCAUCCGCA
rnacentral:tRNA from 1 species